GCUGUGUAGCACUGUAGAUUUUCCUUUUGUAUAACAAUUAUGUAAACAGCCGUGCUAACUGACAUCGGGUGUGACACUGUGAGUAUGUGAGUAGUGCUUGAUUGCCACCAUAAUUUCUCAUUUUGCUGCUUUUGAGCUGGUAGUCACGUGUGGUAGGACGGAGUACAAAGCACAGGUGUACCAGCUCCAAGCUGGUACAACCUGGCAUUUAUUGUGUUUCCCUACUGACAAAAUACGUCUGGAUUUUCUCACCUUUUCUCAUGUCUUUGUUUCUUUACGUUUUAUAACAGGAACAAACAAAUUAAUCUCUCUGCCAAAGGAAUGCAGGCGAGUGGUUGUUCCCACCUGAGGUUUGCUGAGUGCAUGCAUUCCUCACUGUGGUGGUGAGUCCUUGGCAGAGAGCAGCAGUGGGUCAGCUGGAGCUGUGUUGUCCGUCUGCCUUGAGGUCGUUCAGGCAGCCCUGGAAGGUAACCAGUGGGUUUGAUUUGUCAGCUCGUACAGGCACAAACAGUUCCCAGUACACCAACUUACAAAAUGCAGAGACUUGGAAGCUUCAACAAGACAUGCAGCAUUCCAUGCACCAGUUGUGUGUGAUUGAUGGAGAUCUCUUCAGCACCUGGUGUGUAGAAGGGCAUCUGAGAUGAGCCAGUCCCAUUCUGCUUUGAUGGUGGUAAAGUCCUUGGUGUCAGCAGAGCAGCACGGAGCUGGCUGUGUGCCCAUCCUGCCCUGAUGCUCAGAGCAGCACUCUGGGAUGCAUGAGAUGUAAGUCAUUGGCCUGAACCAAAAUAGGCUUGUGCUGCUCCUGUGUUGUCCUUACUCAUGCUGGACUUUCUGUGGGCAAGAAUGAACCUCCCCUGUGACUAAUCUGUUUCUGACUCACCAGCUGCAUCAGAAUGCAGACUUUGAAGAGCUGUGGGAAAGAGCAGUGCUCUGAAGCUUAUGCUAAAUGAACACUGACCCUGGCGGAGGGAUCACAGCCACCUACCAUUGGAGAUGGGUUUAGUGGAGCUGGGGAGGCAGAAGCACAGCUUGCCACCAGCAUUUGACUGCUGCCUCUGCUGCCUCUCUGCUCACUGCUCCCAGUCAACCAUGGGGCUGCAACUACAAGGUGGGAACAGAGACUCUUUGUCCCAACUUGGAAGGGGUCGGUGGUAGUGAGCUGCCUGCAGAGUGGAAGGCAUCUGAGUAGGAAAGAGAGGCACUUGGAGUGCAGUGGGCUUACAGCGAGAGCAAGGAGAAGAAGGAUGGGUCUCCAGAUGGAAGCAAAGUAAUGCUAAGAAGACAUGGUACCUUUACAGGAACAGAUUAGUCUGAAAUUAGUCACUCAAGGCAACCUGAAUUCAGCUCUCCUUGCUCAGAUGCUGCUGUAAUCUCACAUGAGCCAGUGCACAGGUGCUGAGCAGAGCCGUGCAUCCUGACUGCUUACAGGCGCCUACAGAGCGGUGUGAAAAGCUCGCAAAGGACAGUGCCAGGCCAUGUGCUGCAGGGUACAGCACUGCACCUGGUCUGAGUGGAAGCAGUGAGCAGAGGUCACUCACUGCAGCCCAGUGCAGACACCCAUGUGGGAGCAGCAGAGGUGGCCUUUGGCUGGGGAGUAGGAGGGAAGAGCUCAAAGCUCACAGGAGACCCAUGGAUGGACACUGAGCAUCCUUUCCCCCCCUUUGGGGGAAGAUUCAACACAGGUUGUCCCCCUUGCCAAGUGUAGAACUCCUCCUGCAGCCCAUCUCACAUCUCUGGCGGUGUGCACACAGCCUUGUGGUAAAGGCUCCUUGAUCAGUCACAGCUAUCUUCCAGGACAUGAUGGAGAAAUUAUUGUCCAGGAGCUGGGAAGGGACAUACCCCUGAGAGAGACAUUCCUCUCUAGGAGCGUUUCUGACCUCUGCAGCCUGGCAUACCAUUCAGCACACAGAGCUCAGCUGUGGCCAAUUCCUAUGUGGGCCAAUAGCUUGCAUCUCCAGUCCCUGCUGCACCUGGGAGUCAGAACUGAAGCUAUACCUUUGGCUAGCAUGUAAUAUUGCAAAAAGGACUUUUCAAAAGUCUGUGCUGAGAUGUUCCUGCCCUCUGAGCCAGAUGCAGCUAGGAGUAUGGCAGAGGGAGAGGCUUAGCCCCGGUAUGAGCACAGUGCAAUUAAUUCCCAUAACUACUUUGAGGAGAGGCCCCAGGGAUUUUAUGUAAGUCUCUUACGACUUGGAAAGAUGGAUUCUGUCCAUCUUUGGUUUGGUUGAAAAUGAAAGAGCAGAAGCCAUGUUCAAGUGGUGAGUUUUGCUGGUUUAGCAAUAAAAUGCUGAAAUCACUUUCAGUACAGCCUUGCCAUGCUCUUCCGCACUUGCCCUGAUGAAAUAAAGAAGCCAACGUAUGAAUGUAUAUAAUUUUGAUUGUACUGUGGGCCACAGCAGUGGGCACAGACCCAUGGUACUGUGAGUGCAUGGGGCUCCAAAAGCAGAAGGGGAUGCAUAAGGCAUGAGGUCAGCCAGAAGGGCUCUGCAGCUGUAGCCCUGCCCUGUGGCACACAGUGAGCCCAGCCUGACCCUGUACAGGAAGGACAUCACAUGGAAAAAAGUGCAUGUUCCCACUUCCCAUAGCAUCCAUUUGUGUCCCAAGUAGCUGCUUGUUCAGUUGGCCUCAUUUUUUUUAUUUGUUUGCUGUUUCUGCCUUUUAUGAAUCUGGUGGUGUCAUUUUCACACUGAAGCCUGUUUCACUGCGUUUCUGGCCAACCUCGUUGGUUAAACCUGUUCUACCACAUCAGGAUCUUUUUUUUAUAGCUCAUGUCUGCCAGGAAAAGCUUGCCAUUCAUCAUCUUCCUUUCUGCUGUGUUCAUUUUCUGAUGCUCAUGAAAUAUGCUGGUAUUUCCAAAGUAAUACAAAGCUCAGGAGGCAGGGUAGGAGGACCAGGCCAGGACAGUCCCAGCCCUGAAGAGUGUGUCAUGCUCAGAAGUGGGGAGAAGGAGAAAAAAUUGACCCUGAGAUAAAGGAGAUGGGUGGUGGGACUUGUAGCCCCUUCCCAGGGGAACCCCCCCCAGAGUGUAAAGCUGGCUCCUGGCUCAGGCAGAGCAGCCUUUCCCACAGCAGUUCCAUGCUGUCUGUUCUGCAGUUCAGGUCUGUGUUAUUCCUCCUUUUUUGUAUUACUCAUCCUAUUAUAGACGAGAACCAUGAACUGGCUGCCAUGCUGUGGAAGUACUGCUGUGUUUGGGUCACCGCGUUUCUAUACCUCACAGAAUCACAGAAUCACAGAAUGGCCAGGGUUGAAAGGGACCUCAAGGAUCAUGAAUCUCCAGCCCCCCUGCCACAUGCAGGGCCACCAACCUCCCCAUUUAAUACUAGACCAGGCUGCCCAGGGCCCCAUCCAAUCUGGCCUUGAAAACCUCCAGGGACGAAGCAUCUACAAUCUCUCUGGGCAGCCCGUUCUAGAAAUGUAUCAUCAUAUGUGCAAAGUGGUUCAGUUGCUGCUUUGUUAACCAGGUAACAUUAUCAGUGGCAGAAUUCAUGGGGGUGUUGAGAACUGGGACCAAGUCUGGUAUGGCCAGCAGUUUGGGGAGAAAAUUAGGGUUUCUCAUAGUAUCUGCUCACGGUCAAACAGUUCAGAGCACUGAUAUUUGCAGCUACUUCUUGCUCAGAGAACCAAAGCCAUGUCCUCAGUGCACAGUGCUGGGACCAUCUCUGCUUUCCAGCAACUUGGGCAUAAGUGGCCUGAGGUCAGAAUGUAAUAUAGGAGCAACUGCUAACAAUUUAUUUGUCUGCCGGAAGUGGGUUUGGAUUCCUGAUUAUAAAUGCUCACUUUUGAAGUCUUUGCAGCUGUGUGAAUGCCUUGAAAGCAAUGGUCAGGUUCCUCUGGUUCAUGGGCUGCAGAGGAGGAACCCAGCGGAGGAACCCUGCUCUGCCACCGGCGUCGGUCUCCUGCUCGGUAUCUCACCCAGACACAGAUAAGCGAAAAAGCAGAGGUUUGUGUCACGCUUCUUUCAUAGUUCUUGUGUACAAAUGUUCGCAUGCUGCAGCGGUUCAAAGAGCCUAAAGAUAUGAUCUUAACUGUGGUGCUUUCCCAGCCUAUGGCCACGCUUUGCCUCUGUGAAUAAAGGCGGCAGUGUCUGCAGCCAGGAGAUCUCUCCUACAGAUCUCAUCGGGCUGUUUGCCUCCCUGGGGAGCAGAGUUGGGGACAGCAGAGUUCAGGGUAGCACGUGUUCGAGAAUUGAUGGGGAAAUUUGAAGCCUAAAUGGCACAUGCUGGCCUUCUCGCAGAGAUGAGGAGUCAAGAGGAAGCGGCUGGGAUGUGGAACACGUGCCAAUUCUGAACUACACACAUAGGCAUUUAGGGAGCAUGCUAAGAAAGCCACAUGUGUGUGCACACACUUGUAAGUGCGCAUGCCUAUGUUUGUAAACAGCUCCUCAUAUCCCUCUGAUUAGGGAUUCUAUCGAUGAUUGCCUGAUUUGUCCUGUGGCAGACAAAUUCAAAUGAAAAUGUGUUCCCCAUCUCCCUGCUACUAUAAAUUCUGUGCUAUGGGGAAGUAGUGAAGUGCACUAGCUGUACACCCAUGGAGAAAUGCCCUGUUGAGAAGUAUUACACAGGGAACAACUGACAGCCCUUCACUUCAGUGGGUACAUUUCUCUGUACAGCUGCAUCACCACUAAUGAUAAAUGAGCAACGUUUGAUAGCCGACUCCGUUGCCUGACAGCUACAGUUUUGGCCAGAGGGCCACGACAGGCUUUAGACUUCUGUUCAAAAUGAGUUAAACAUAUUAGGUAUUGCGAAGCCACAGAAGCCUCGAGAAUGAGUGCUGAAAUGAGUUAUCAAGGUAUGCUCCUGGGUACACAACUUGCAAAGCAGAUGUCAUUCUAAUAAUGUGUGAUAUAGAACAUGUCUGGCCUAAACCCUGCUGGAUGAAAUAUGAAGCCCCGUUGGUGAUAUUUAAUAUCAUUUUAUGAGGUGCCAUCUUAUAAAGACAAUGCCCGCCUUAUGUGGAAUGCUUAAGGUAUUUUGCCAAAGGCACAGGGAGGUAUCUGAACUAAGUAGAAUUUUUAUUAUUUUAUAAGCCUUUACUUUGUAAUAUUUCUGUUUCUACAUUAUUGUGGUACUAGCUGCACUAACCCUUUGUCUGGUGAACCUCACAAGCAGUUAUUGAGUGACUGAUGGCCACAGCUCUCUGCAGGGUAACGGCCAGGGCCUGCCUAAAUAUAUUCUUAACAACAAAAACAAAAAAGCCCCCAAAAAACACAACAACCCAAACAACAGAAACUGGUCUUCAAAGGGAAAUAAAGCUUCACAGGAGGCACACAUGGAAAGGAGGUCCUCGGAGCUACAGGACCCAGAGCUUUAGGUGUUCUAUAAAGGAGCGAGGCCCAGGAAGAUGGUGAGCUGUGCAUUACAGCUGUGUAUUAGCUGUAAAGCUGUAGCAUGCUUCUCCUCCUGAAUUCCUCUUGUCAACGGUGCCUUUCUGCUGAGAUUGCCGGAUCCCUUUGCUGACAUCCCAAGGACAUGUGCAGAGUUACUUAAUUUAAGGAAGGUAACAGGUGUUUUAAUUCUCCAAUUCUCUCUCAGUUUGUUCAAAAUGUUUUCUUUAAUGCUGCUUUUGUGGAACUUCCUAGCAUGGACCUGCUGACAGGUAGAGGCUGAGUGCAGUGGUUACUGUCAGCAGAUCAGACACCUCCUCCUGGCACCAGUGCUGUGUCGAGCACCCUGAUCCAUGCUUAUGUGACAGUGGUGCUGAGCUGGGGCAGGGAGACUCAGCACCAAACACCAUCUGGCCCCAUGCUGCCAGGGAAGUUUCCUUGUGUCAGCUCCUGCCCAUCUGCCUGUUUAAAGCAGCAUCCACACUGCUGGCGUUACUUGCCUAGCCAUGCCAGGGGCCGCUGCAUGCAGCUUCCAGUUUGGAAGACAUCCCUGCACCGAAAUAGGUGGUGCUUCCUGCUUGUAAUCCCAGCAUUCUCCUUCUGUCUUCCUACCUAAGUGAUCUCUCAAUGUGCAGUAGUGCAGCCUGGUAUCAUUCCCUUUGACAAAACUCUACUAACUUUAUUUUUCUUUGCCCUUGAACAACUUGCUUUCCUCCCAAACUCAUCAUCCUCUGAGCCCAAGGUCUGUGAUAUUCAGAUUCAUCUUUCUUUAUACCAUAAACAUGCCAUAUAUAUAUAAUGCAUUGGGACACUGGCAAGCAAUGACUAUUGGAGGCAGAAUGGGUGCUGAGGGGCCCAUCGCUGCGCAGUUGCAGAGCUCAGCAGCAGCUCAUCCAUCGCACUGCACUACAUGACCUGCCUGUCUCCAUGCCUGUGGCGUGCAGCACAUAACACUGACAUGGAGUCAGAACUGUGCACUGCAGCCAGCCCUUCUGGCCUUGGUGCUACUGCACUCAGCGCUACCUGCUAGCGGCCCCAUGGCGGGUCAGGAUGCUGCUGUCUGAAAGAAGCCCAUCUCAGACAUUCCUGAAAGCCACUGCUCAGUGUACGACAUGUCGAGUGACAUCUGCUGUGCCACAAAGCAUCAGUGUGUUGCAAAAUACCAUAAUGAAAGGUGACAAGAUAUACUGCAAGCUGUUUGGCCAAUAUUUUUGUUUAUCCUGGGGGCAAAUUCCAUGCAGACCCACAGCACGGUACCUUUGCCUGGGGCGGCCAGCCAAACCCCUCAACAUUUGGGCAUCUUCAAGCGCUCAGAGCUACCCCUGGCCCAACACAGGUGAUGGUGGGCAGAGCUCGGUGCAGAAGCACCCCCAGCCCACCCGCAUCCCCCACCCACAGAUUUUCCUCAUGAUGUGGUGCAGCUGUGGUGGGCGCUGAGGGCUUUUCUUGCCUCUCAGAGCUCAUGAACUUGUGAGCAAAUCCCCCAUCCCCAUCGUACGGGAGGCUCUUGUUUAUAUAGGUUUUCCACUUGGAGCUCAUUUCCUUCAAGUCUGUCCUCAUACUCAGUGAAAUCCCUGCUCUGAGCUGCAGGAGGCUUUUAGCUCCUCUUUCUGCUUACAUUGUUGCAAGAGUUGAGUGGGAAAAUGCACAGAGCUGGGAGAUUAAAGAUGUAAAUUUUAUAAACAGAAAUCAAAGGUCCUAAAUCCUUAGCAAAGAAAAGCCGACGUAAGUAUGAACAUUAAAAAACAUACAUAAAUAGUACUUCAAGGCUGAAUGUGUUAAAUUAUUCAACGGUUAAGUCAUAAGUGUUCUUAAACUUAAGUAUAAAAAUGCCCUUGACAAUAUUUCAUAGCUGUGCAUUUCUUUAAAAUAUUUAGCAUUCUCAUUAAAGAGAAUGACUUUAUUUUAUAUAUUAGUUACACUCCCGCUUGUUAAUAUGAGGAAUUUAGUAGCGAAGAGCUUUCUUAUGCACAUAAGACAAAGACAAUUUACAUAUAAAGUUGGACAACUAUUCACUUUUUAUUUAUUCCUGGAUCAUCUGCAUCCACGCAGAGCCACAGAAUAUUUAAACAAAUUUGUUCCUUAAUGCAGAGUAUUAAUAUUUCCUUGCCCAAAAUAUCAUUUGCUAAUGCCACCAUGAAGACAGGUUCAUUCAGAGCUACACGGAGGUUCUCGCCUCAGAAAGGCUUAAUGAACCUUACAUUUUUGGUAUACUGCACCGUGUAAUGCCUAUUACAUAUUCAUUGCCAGGAUGGAAGAUUUCCUUUAACUCUGAGGCUCCUGGCCUAGUUCACUGUAAAACAUUGUCAAAAAUCACCAGAGACUUUCACUGAGAAUUGUGACUCUUGAUAGCAAGAUGUAAUGGGAAGCUUUAGAAUAGAAGAGCCGCUGCUAUAUGGGCCCAGGGGGAAUAGUUCUGACAGACAAAUGGAUGGGUAAUACAGUUUUUGACAUAAUGGGAUGAAAAAGUUUAUGCCAGAAAGAACUGAAUUAAAGUUCAUACUUUGAGGAAAUUCUGAAGUUCUCCCAACCAGCAGCAUUACAUUUGUGUGCUUCAUGCUAAGGCAUGCAUGCCAAUGGACUUUUUCCUGGUUUUGAAUUGGUUUGCAAGCUUACCAAGAAGCCACAGUAACAGUGUUAGUUACUGUCCUGGUGCCGCUGCUGCACAGGACACUCUCAGGGAGCUGGAGCUGGAGCUGUCUGUUCGAAGGCCGUGCAUCAUCGGUUUGUUUCUCAACCCCCUUUCGUAGGAAGAGCAGAACCAAAAAGACCAUAAUUUGGAGUGUUGCUCUGGAAUUCCAGAUUGCUGACAGCUUUGUUAUUUCAAUUCUUUUUCCUUCUUGUUCUGUGAACUGUAGGUAUUGGUAGCUCCAGGAUCGCUGCACCCUAGUGAGAAAAGGAGUUCGGCUGAUGUAGAAAUCACUGCAAGCUGAAGGCCUUCAUUAACAUCUGAGAAGUGUUGCUUGCUGCUCUGUGCAUUAUUUUUGGUGAUGGCAGCCUGCGCUGUGACCAGAUGUGUUUUUAGGCGGUGUGCAUGCGUGCACGCAGCAAGGGUCUGACCGCAGGUCUCUGGGGAGGCGAUGGUGCAGUAACAGCCUCUCCUCUGGAGCUGCCAUCCAAGCUGCGUCUCCUGUGAGCCAGCUGUGACAGAGGCAGUGGCUGAACUGCAGAAAUGAGUGCAAUGGGGAAAGGCCUCAUAAUGGCCAAGAUGAAAAAUGUGUUAGUGCAGAACAAUGAAGUGAUGGUAAAUCUGAGAUGUAGGCACCAGUCACCACUUGUGCCACACCGUUGUCAGAAGGGUGCUGAGGUAUCUGAGAGAGCAGGCUGAGAAAGCGAGCUAAUUAUACCACAUUAUUCACUUCUGCUCAUUAGCUAUAGUACAAAGGCUCUGCUUUUUAUGUAUAUAUUAAAGUGCCAAGGAGUACAGGAAUAGAUAACUUAAUGUUCCUUUUGUCUCACUAUUUGGUUUGGCUUAGACAGAAAAAAAAACGCACUUUCAUGGUCCUGCAGUUUCCCAUCCUACAGAAUUAGGGAUGUCAUCAUAUGUCACCCCAAGCGAACUGCAAAAGGCCGCUCUCUCCCUGAUGCCUUGCCAAGCCGAGCUCAAGCAAAGCUUCUGUGCUGUUUAACAGGUUCUGACCCGUGUCUGCACAAGGGGUGUGUAGGCAGCCUGCCUUCCCCUGUGCUCAGCACAGGCACUGCUUCAUGGGAUAGGCUUCCUCUGCCUCUAAGUCCCUUUCAGCACACACCUCAAAUAGCUCCAGAGUCAUUUGGCAGCCUCAAGGCAACACCCCGCUGCCAUCUCCCUGGGUGCACUGUGCCCUCUCACUGCCCCUUUCUGCUCCACCAUUUUGGGAGUGCAGAUCCCACCUGCUCCCUGCUGAGCUUCACUGCCACAGAUUCUGCUGUUUGAUAAACUCGGGGUGCUGUUACAACACGUCUGCUCUUACAGUCCUGCUAUUGCAUUUGGAUCUGAGAAUGAGCCAUUAGGACAAGAUGAGUGGGAAAGCAGAAAAUUUGUUUAUUGAAAUUAUUUAUAUGCGAGAAAUUCCUGACUUUCAAAGUUCGUGGAUCUCCAGUGCACAAGUUGCAGAGCAUGCACUAAUCCAAGAGAAGAGGAACAGGUAAUGCACUUCUGUGCUUGGAUGAUGGAAAUCGAAUUUGUGCAUUGAAAUCUUCCCUUUCCCAUGAUGACAAUUGCCUUGCCAUUCUAAUUAUGUGCAUCACAAAAGCCACUGCUUCAGUAAAACACCCUGCAGCUACAAAAAGGGAUAGGCUGGAGAAGCACACAUCACCAAUAAGUGGCACUGAGCAUCUACUCCAUUUCUCACACAGGUUGGCAUAUUUCUCAGUGGUCCAUCUGGUAGAAUUGGAUGGCAUUUAUCAGGAAAUAAUCCAAUUGUGGCAUGCCAAAACCUGAACAUGAAAAGUACUUGUGCCUCGUGUCAAUCAUUCACCCUCUGACAGUUCAAUAAACAUCCUUUCUGUGAUAGUUUUCAGGAACACUGACACCCAAAAUGCUGGAAACAAUGCCAGAGCUGGAAACGACAAUGCUUCUGUGAAACAUCACGAGAGACCCACACAACCUGGCAUGCAUUUUGCCAAGUGUUGCUUAGCAAUACAGCGUCUGUGGGCCUCUGGUGGGCAGGAUUAUCUGCAGAGGGAGAGGCAUUCACACCUCUGAUGAAAAUACAUCGUUCCCAAAUAAAGGAGUGCAAAGAAGAGAAGUGCAGCGUGGAGCACAGGAUGCUGCAGCCACAAUACGCAACUGGAGGCUUGCAAGAAAACAUCUCACCACUCACACUUCUUCCACAGGUGCCAAGCUGUGUGCAGCACGUGCCUCGUCCCAUGUGGCAGGGCUCUCCCAGGCAGCAGUCGUGUUGCUGCAUUGUGAGCAGCUCCCACAGAAAGCACGUGCAGGCAGAACCUUGUGUGGGCUGGGUUGGGGGCACCACGACUGAGGACGAUGGCAUGCGGAGAGAGCCCAGACCUGGAGCUGGGGUGUAAAUAACCAGCAUCACUUGUAAGGAAGUGUGAAACAGGAACAGGCCUUUGACAGCCUAGGUGUUGGUAAUAAUAGGAUCACAGAAGGAGCUCGUGGUAAGAUAAAAGAAAACUUGCUCGCUGCCAAAAUUCUCAGGCAAGUCCCUCUCCCCAAAUGACUCUGUUUACUGUUUACUUCUCCAGCUCCCCUGUCCCACCCCUGAAAAGUAAAGGCAGCAUUUCCAGAACAGCAAACAAAGCUCCAUGGCUGGAGGGAGAGAGCACUACUUUAUAUUGCAAGCACCACUUUGCCACCAACAAGGAAAUGGAAUUGAGGAAAGUGAAAUAACUUGCCCGAAGACACUGACAGACCUGGGAACUAAAUUCAGGACUCCUUAAUGUGCCAAAUCCUGAAGCAGACGCUCCUGAGGUCUCACCAAAUCACCUUUUAUGUGUGUGCCCAGUAAACAGGAAUGAGAGUAACUCAUGCAUAUCAGAUAAGGGGUUUUUGUCUGUCUCAUGUUCAGGGUUUUUAGAUCCAGGAAUCAGCUGAUACAUGGAGUAUGCAAUCUUCCCUUCCAGCAUUGUGAAGGUAGCCCCAAUGCAGACACGCCUGCCUAGCCCACCCAGACAGAGGUGUGGGAGGCUGCUGGGGAUGGAGCUUUUGGGGCAUUUCCCCAAAACUGCCUUUUCCCCUCUGGCUCAGGGCUGCACUGACAGGGCUCUUUCCAACAGACAGAGCUCCGCACCAAAACCCAGAGGUGUGCAGAUUCCUGUAUAUACUUAUGACAGUUUUCCAGGGAGAAGUGCAAGCUAACUCCAUCAGUGCCUUUGAGCCUUGACUUGUUAAUUGGCAUUACUUCUAAUUCCCAGCUAUAUUUUAAGGUAUGAACCUAAGGAAUUUUAAAGUCAUUAUGUGGGUGAGGGACUGAUAAAAAUAAAUCCUUCAGGUUUACAAGUGGCAGUGAGGGAAUAAAAGGUGUUAAGAAAUCCACAAGUUUUCAGCCAAUUGGUUCAAAAAAGUAUCCGGGUGGACUGCAGCUUCUGGAGAAAGGUCAUUGAUACUACUCUGAGUACCUCGUUUUAUGAACUUUAUGCAUCACAUAAAAUAAAUUUAAAGCAGUUUAAUUUAACAGUCUAAUUAGUCAUGGCUUUUUCAUCUUGUCUAUUUAACUAUACACAGAACAAAGAGAAAGGCUCAAUGCCAAAUUUGGAGCUGGCACAAAUCAUCUCUAUGAGUCAAAAAAAGCCGUUCCUGCUCAUCCAGGCUGGAUGUAGAUGCAGUUGGCCAAAUUUAUCCCCAGGGAUAACACCGUUAAUGUCUGGAGAGUUGUACCAUGUAUAGACCAGAGUGCCAGGAAUUAACUCCCCGUGGAGCAGAUCUCUUGGUCUCCACGUUCAGAGCUAGAGCCAGGCUAGUGAAAAUGUGAGUUAAAUACUCUGGAGGAAUGACUUAAAAACUCCAGAUAGUUUGGAACACAACUCCUCUGUGUGUUGGCUUCACAAGCACGCACGCAAGCAUUCCCCAUCACUUCAGUGUUUAAUUUCCAUCCCCUUUCACUAAAUUUUACUGUUCAUACAAUCUCAGGCAAAUGGCAAUCACACGAAUGCAUCCUCCACUGUGCCUUGUGCUUCUGCUCCUCUGUGUAAACCACAGCAGUAUGUAGAUCUUGG